rnacentral:tRNA from 1 species
GGCGGUCUAGCUCAGUUGGCUAGAGCACACGGUUCAUACCCGUGGUGUCAUAAGUUCAAAUCUUAUUACCGCUACCA